rnacentral:rRNA from 1 species
UUCAGAGUUUGAUCAUGGCUCAGGACGAACGCUGGCGGCGUGCCUAAUACAUGCAAGUCGAACGCGUCUCCGUUAAUGAUUUUAGGUGCUUGCACUUGAAAGAUUUAACAUUGAGACGAGUGGCGAACUGGUGAGUAACACGUGGGUAACCUGCCCUUGAAGUAGGGGAUAACACUUGGAAACAGGUGCUAAUACCGUAUAACAACCAAAACCACCUGGUUUUGGUUUAAAAGACGGCUUCGGCUGUCACUUUAGGAUGGACCCGCGGCGUAUUAGCUUGUUGGUAAGGUAACGGCCUACCAAGGCGAUGAUACGUAGCCGACCUGAGAGGGUAAUCGGCCACAUUGGGACUGAGACACGGCCCAAACUCCUACGGGAGGCAGCAGUAGGGAAUCUUCCACAAUGGACGAAAGUCUGAUGGAGCAACGCCGCGUGAGUGAUGAAGGGUUUCGGCUCGUAAAACUCUGUUGUUGGAGAAGAACAGGUGUCAGAGUAACUGUUGACAUCUUGACGGUAUCCAACCAGAAAGCCACGGCUAACUACGUGCCAGCAGCCGCGGUAAUACGUAGGUGGCAAGCGUUGUCCGGAUUUAUUGGGCGUAAAGCGAGCGCAGGCGGUUUUUUAGGUCUGAUGUGAAAGCCUUCGGCUUAACCGGAGAAGUGCAUCGGAAACCGGGAGACUUGAGUGCAGAAGAGGACAGUGGAACUCCAUGUGUAGCGGUGAAAUGCGUAGAUAUAUGGAAGAACACCAGUGGCGAAGGCGGCUGUCUGGUCUGUAACUGACGCUGAG